rnacentral:rRNA from 1 species
GACGAACGCUGGCGGCGUGCCUAAUACAUGCAAGUAGAACGCACAGUUUAUACCGUAGCUUGCUACACCAUAGACUGUGAGUUGCGAACGGGUGAGUAACGCGUAGGUAACCUGCCUGGUAGCGGGGGAUAACUAUUGGAAACGAUAGCUAAUACCGCAUAAUAUUAAUUAUUGCAUGAUAAUUAAUGGAAAGGUGCAAUUGCACCACUACCAGAUGGACCUGCGUUGUAUUAGCUAGUAGGUGAGGUAACGGCUCAACUAGGCGAAGAUACAUAGCCGACCUGAGAGGGUGGUCGGCCACACUGGGACUGAGACACGGCCCAGACUCCUACGGGAGGCAGCAGUAGGGAAUCUUCGGCAAUGGACGAAAGGCUGACCGAGCAACGCCGCGGGAGUGAAGAAGGUUUUCGGAUCGUAAAGAUCUGUUGUAAGAGAAGAACGGGUGUGAGAGUUGAAAGUUCACACUGUGACGGUAUCUUACCAGAAAGGGACGGCUAACUACGUG